UGCCAGCAGCCGCGGUAAUACGAAGGGUGCAAGCGUUGUUCGGAUUUAUUGGGCGUAAAGCGCGCGCAGGCGGAUUAUUAAGCCAGAUGUGAAAUCUCGGGGCUCAACCCCGAAACUGCGUCUGGAACUGAUAAUCUAGAAUCACGGAGAGGAAAGGGGAAUUUCGCAUGUAGGGGUAAAAUCCGUAGAGAUGCGAAGGAACACCAGAGGCGAAGGCGCCUUUCUGGACGUGUAUUGACGCUGAGGCGCGAAAGCGUGGGGAGCAAACAGGAUUAGAUA
rnacentral:rRNA from 1 species